UCUUUACCAAGAAACACGCAACGCACUCUAAGGUUGAUAGUCAAGAUGAUGAAGGAAUCAAGUUAGGAUGGACUAGAUACCCAUUUUAGCAAUAAACUAUUUGUUUGAAUUUAUGUUUGAAUAUUCGAAACUUUGUAUUGCCCUUUAGAAUUUAAUAAAAUGAUUUAAUUCAUAUUGUCA